rnacentral:sRNA from 1 species
GCACCUGCAUAAUCAGGUGCCGGGAUUGGAACCCCGAAUUGCCAAAGAGCACAAGUCACGUUUUACGUGUUACUC